rnacentral:rRNA from 1 species
UGGGGAAUUUUGGACAAUGGGCGCAAGCCUGAUCCAGCAAUGCCGCGUGCAGGAUGAAGGCCUUCGGGUUGUAAACNGCUUUUGUACGGAACGAAAAGCCUCUCUCUAAUACAGGGGGGUGAUGACGGUACCGUAAGAAUAAGCACCGGCUAACUACGUGCCAGCAGCCGCGGUAAUACGUAGGGUGCAAGCGUUAAUCGGAAUUACUGGGCGUAAAGCGUGCGCAGGCGGUUUUGUAAGACAGUGGUGAAAUCCCCGGGCUCAACCUGGGAACUGCCAUUGUGACUGCAAGGCUGGAGUGCGGCAGAGGGGGAUGGAAUUCCGCGUGUAGCAGUGAAAUGCGUAGAUAUGCGGAGGAACACCGAUGGCGAAGGCAAUCCCCUGGGCCUGCACUGACGCUCAUGCACGAAAGCGUGGGGAGCAAACAGGAUUAGAUACCCUGGUAGUCCACGCCCUAAACGAUGUCAAC